rnacentral:snRNA from 1 species
GGAUCUUUUGUAGGAAGAAUCAAG